rnacentral:ribozyme from 1 species
UUCCUUUUCUCUUUCUCUUUGUCGCUGAACAAACCGUUACCUUCGUCGCC